rnacentral:rRNA from 1 species
UACGUAGGGUCCAAGCGUUGUCCGGAGUUAUUGGGCGUAAAGCGCGCGCAGGCGGUCCUUUAAGUCUGAUGUGAAAGCCCACGGCUCAACCGUGGAGGGUCAUUGGAAACUGGGGGACUUGAGUACAGAAGAGAAGAGUGGAAUUCCACGUGUAGCGGUGAAAUGCGUAGAGAUGUGGAGGAACACCAGUGGCGAAGGCGACUCUUUGGUCUGUAACUGACGCUGGGGCGCGAAAGCGUGGGGAGCAAACAGG